rnacentral:rRNA from 1 species
AGAGUUUGAUCAUGGCUCAGAUUGAACGCUGGCGGUAGGCUUAACACAUGCAAGUCGUGCGAGAAAGUAUCUUCGGAUAUGAGUAGAGCGGCGGACGGGUGAGUAACGCGUAGGAAUCUACCUAGUAGAAGGGGAUAGCCCGGGGAAACCCGGAUUAAUACCGUAUACCUCCUUCGGGAGAAAGAAGGCCUCUCUUUGAAGCUUUCGCUAUUAGAUGAGCCUGCGUAAGAUUAGCUUGUUGGUGAGGUAACUGCUCACCAAGGCUACGAUCUUUAGCUGGUCUGAGAGGACGAUCAGCCACAUUGGGACUGAGACACGGCCCAGACUCCUACGGGAGGCAGCAGUGGGGAAUAUUGGACAAUGGGCGCAAGCCUGAUCCAGCCAUACCGCGUGUGUGAAGAAGGCCUUCGGGUUGUAAAGCACUUUAAGCAGGGAGAAAAAGUUAUAAGUUAAUACCUUAUAACCGUGAUGUUACCUGCAGAAUAAGCACCGGCUAAUUCCGUGCCAGCAGCCGCGGUAAUACGGAAGGUGCAAGCGUUAAUCGGAAUUACUGGGCGUAAAGCGCGCGUAGGUGGUUUGUUAAGUUGGAUGUGAAAGCCCUGGGCUCAACCUAGGAACUGCAUCCAAAACUAACUCACUAGAGUACGAUAGAGGGAGGUAGAAUUCAUAGUGUAGCGGUGGAAUGCGUAGAUAUUAUGAAGAAUACCAGUGGCGAAGGCGGCCUCCUGGAUCUGUACUGACACUGAGGUGCGAAAGCGUGGGUAGCGAACAGGAUUAGAUACCCUGGUAGUCCACGCCGUAAACGAUGACAACUAGCUGUUGGGAGACAAUGUCUUUCAGUGGCGCAGCUAACGUUUUAAGUUGUCCGCCUGGGGAGUACGGCCGCAAGGCUAAAACUCAAAUGAAUUGACGGGGACCCGCACAAGCGGUGGAGCAUGUGGUUUAAUUCGAUGCAACGCGAAAAACCUUA